CCAUGAGACAUACGGCGUAAAAUCUUCGGCACGUAUUUUGUGUAUGAUUUUUUUGUGAUAAAGUUAACAUGUAUCAAUUAAAUCGUUUGCUCAAAAAAAAAAAAAAAAGGGAAAAAGAAAUUAACACGUGUCAAUCAAUGCUAGAUAUUACACACACAAAUAAAAGCAGAAGAUUUAAUCUCGAGAUAUGCAAAGUUAGGCGUGGAAACUCUUUCACCAACCUCAAUCUCUCUCUCUUUCUCACACAUACACAUACACACACACUUUUGUGUAAAAGGUUCCGCUUAUUGGGGGAAUUUUAUGUAUUUUUCCCUGCCAUUUGAUGCUUUUGCAAUUUGCACUAUUUGCUAAAGAUUAUGAGGCAAUUGAGUGUGUGAACACCAUAGUGAACCCACACCCACAAAAGAAAAGAGUGAGUGUAAAAACCCAAUAUUUGAAAAUGAUCAUGAUGGAAUGAAUGAACCAAUGACCAAAAUAGAGACAAAGAACAUGAGAUGAUGAUUGUGUACAUGUUUCAAGUGCACCUACCAAUUAAUUGGUGGAAGCUUAUCCCCUUCUAUGUUAAUAAUAAUGGAUUUGGAUCCCAUCCGGAUCUAAAUUAUGGAGAUUCUAGAAAUUCUCACAUCUUAACUAUUCAUCGUGCAUUGUGCAGUAAAAAAUCAUUUAACUUUUUUUAUUUAAAAUUAAACACAAAUAGUACCUGACAAAAACUGGUCUCACGAUGUACGAUGAACGACUAAGAUGUGGGAAUCCUUAGGAUCCCUACAAAGUAGAUCCGGAGAGGAUCCUCUUCCAAUAAUAAUAUGGAUAAAUUAAACAAAACUAUCUCAAAUAUGAGUGGAACCACAAUGUUAUAUUGGAGUGAGUCUAUAUUUUAGGAGAAAAAGAAUGUAAAUAUUUUGUAAUUAUUAGAGUCUUGUUUUAGGAAGGAUAUUGUGUCCUUUAUUAUUUCCUUUUGUAACAAGGAUUGUAUGUAUUUUUAUUCAAGAUUGUGGAAUACAGAAAAGUUAAGCCGUAAAAUUCUAUUUGGCAUUAGAGCCAAGUUUUCCGUAACCCUAGAAACUGUAAAACAAUUUAUUUUCUUCCACUGCUGUGUUCAGUCGACUUGUUCGUGUGCUAAUUGUUACAGAAAUCGGUCAGGUCGUGUAUAUUGGAUUUGCAGCAGUGUGAUCUUGCUGCUACUGUGUGUGGUGUUGUGCUUUUGCAAUUGUGCCAUGUAUUGGUGUGUUUGUUUUACAAUUGCUGCUGCUUGUAAUCGCGGUUCGUAAUUACUGUGAUAUCUGCUCGUGUAAGAGCUACAGACGUGGAUUUUUGCUGCUGCCGUGUAAUGUUGUGUUGCAGUCUGUAGCUGCACUAUUCCCGGUAAACACGUAUGAUUGCUGUGCGCGCAAUGGGUAAUUAUCCUUAGGUAAUUGCCUUUGGUUUUUUAUACCGUGAUUUGGCUACUGCUGGUGAUAAAAAAAUAAAAAGGGAUUUGAUGCUUCUUGCUGCAUGAUUGCAGCAUGUAAAUCUGUUGGCCAAAGCAAGAAAAAGAAAAAGGGGAUUUUGCUGCUCUUGCGGCUGAUGUGAAAAAUAAGUUAACACACAAAUUAAACCCUCUUUUUAUCAAUUGUAGUAAAGUAUGUAAGU
rnacentral:lncRNA from 1 species